rnacentral:pre_miRNA from 1 species
CCUGACGGUCAGUCCAGGGCUUAGUCAGCGGGGGCCGGAGUGGCUUCCCUGGCUGGCACCUGGACUUGGGCUGUUUCCGU